ACUGGAUUAGAUGUGUGGAGUCAGGUGGCGAGGUGGGCGGGGCUUGAUGUUGGAAGCGCGAGGUUGCAAAUGGAAAUUUUUACGAGCCUCGUCAACACGUGUCUUGUCAAUGAAAACAAAUACACACCGAAAAUUUAAAAACAAUAUUAAUGCGUAUUUUGACUGUAAACAGACAAACGUGCUGCAGAAGCUUCUGAAGAACAAUUAUUCUGCCAAAAACAAAGAUGAAAACGACCUGGAAAUGAUCCGAGAACAUAAAAGGCAGGAGAACAAACAUGUGCACCAGGCACAGAGGUGUGCAGAAACAAUUUUGUUUCCAGAAGAAAUCACAUUUAAGCCUCUUCUUCUCAUCUUCUAUGGCCUUCAUCUUGGCUUCGUGGACGUCAGCCAGUGCCUUCCACUCUCCCCUGUUGUUAUUCAGACCGUCAAACAUCGGCUUGAUCUCCGUGUGGAAACGUGAAAACUCCUAAAGAGGAUCAGACUUGGACUUCCUGAGUCAAAUAUGUCAUUUGGACGACGUGGGAAACGAUGGAUGACCAUGUCUGAGCUCCAACUCUCUAAUGGGAUUUAUGUUCAUCUUUCAUAACAGUGACCCAGAGGUCGAAGUCCAGCUUGUAAAUAUGCAGGUCAGUGACAGGAAGCGAAUGGACUUAAAUAGCUGUAUUGUUGUUGUCAGGAAGGAACUGUUACGAACCACACCUCAGAAUUUAAA